rnacentral:lncRNA from 1 species
AUUUGUCUAAUGUUUUUCUGUCAAUUGACCAGAUAUUUUUGUUGAAAACUUUUUAUUUAAAGAGGAAACUUCGUAUCAAGACUAUAAACAGAAAAGCAGCACCAGUUUGCUAUACCCAGAGGACUUAAAAUAGCUACAGACCCCCAAAGGAGCGGGCUGUGAGUCUGGUGAGACGACUGGAAUGUGGGUGCUAGAGGUGCACUGCCUGGGCUCCGAUCGGGCUGACACCCGACCAACUCUAUGAGUUUGUGCUUGAACCUCUGUCUUCUCAUCUGUGACCCAGGGUGAUGCUCACCUCCUAAGACCUUUAUGACGACUCAGUGAGCAAAAUGCCUGGCCUCGGUGGAAAGAGGUUUCCUGUCCAGAGCUGCAGGCAGGCGCUGAGGCUGGAGCCCAAGCCAAAAGCGCUGCUCCAGGCUUUUCCACGAUGCUGAGUCCAAACCGCCUCAGCCGUCUUCACUCAGGGCAGCGCUCCCUCCAGUGAGGAGCCGUCCACACCGGCAGCCAUGCCCGGACUCGCUUAGGAAGAGCAGAGCGGCAGAGAGAAGGGGCUGGCUGCCCGGCUGGCUGAACCUAGCCCACCCAGGUUUCACCUACGCUGCUGAGCAAAGGGUCGAAGAACAGCUAAUUAAAAGCACCACUUCUCACGCUGGAGAAAAUAC